CCUAACGCUGCUGCCGGCUGCCAAAGCCA
rnacentral:sRNA from 1 species